AGAGUUUGAUCAUGGCUCAGAUUGAACGCUGGCGGCAGGCCUAACACAUGCAAGUCGAGCGGCAGCACGGGGAGCUUGCUCCCUGGUGGCGAGCGGCGGACGGGUGAGUAAUGCAUAGGAAUCUGCCCGGUAGUGGGGGAUAACCUGGGGAAACCCAGGCUAAUACCGCAUACGUCCUACGGGAGAAAGCAGGGGCUCUUCGGACCUUGCGCUAUCGGAUGAGCCUAUGUCGGAUUAGCUGGUUGGUGAGGUAAUGGCUCACCAAGGCGACGAUCCGUAGCUGGUCUGAGAGGAUGAUCAGCCACACUGGGACUGAGACACGGCCCAGACUCCUACGGGAGGCAGCAGUGGGGAAUAUUGGACAAUGGGCGCAAGCCUGAUCCAGCCAUGCCGCGUGUGUGAAGAAGGCCCUCGGGUUGUAAAGCACUUUCAGCGAGGAAGAAGGCUUGGCGGCUAAUAUCCGUCAAGAAGGACAUCACUCGCAGAAGAAGCACCGGCUAACUCCGUGCCAGCAGCCGCGGUAAUACGGAGGGUGCGAGCGUUAAUCGGAAUUACUGGGCGUAAAGCGCGCGUAGGUGGUUUGGCACGCCGGUUGUGAAAGCCCCGGGCUCAACCUGGGAACGGCAUCCGGAACGGCCAGACUAGAGUGCAGGAGAGGAAGGUAGAAUUCCCGGUGUAGCGGUGAAAUGCGUAGAGAUCGGGAGGAAUACCAGUGGCGAAGGCGGCCUUCUGGCCUGACACUGACACUGAGGUGCGAAAGCGUGGGUAGCAAACAGGAUUAGAUACCCUGGUAGUCCACGCCGUAAACGAUGUCGACUAGCCGUUGGGACCUUUAAGGACUUAGUGGCGCAGUUAACGCGAUAAGUCGACCGCCUGGGGAGUACGGCCGCAAGGUUAAAACUCAAAUGAAUUGACGGGGGCCCGCACAAGCGGUGGAGCAUGUGGUUUAAUUCGAUGCAACGCGAAGAACCUUACCUACCCUUGACAUCCAGAGAACUUGGCAGAGAUGCCUUGGUGCCUUCGGGAACUCUGAGACAGGUGCUGCAUGGCUGUCGUCAGCUCGUGUUGUGAAAUGUUGGGUUAAGUCCCGUAACGAGCGCAACCCUUGUCCUUAUUUGCCAGCACGUAAUGGUGGGAACUCUAAGGAGACUGCCGGUGACAAACCGGAGGAAGGUGGGGACGACGUCAAGUCAUCAUGGCCCUUACGGGUAGGGCUACACACGUGCUACAAUGGCCGGUACAAAGGGUUGCGAGACCGCGAGGUGGAGCGAAUCCCAGAAAGCCGGCCUCAGUCCGGAUCGGAGUCUGCAACUCGACUCCGUGAAGUCGGAAUCGCUAGUAAUCGUGAAUCAGAAUGUCACGGUGAAUACGUUCCCGGGCCUUGUACACACCGCCCGUCACACCAUGGGAGUGGACUGCACCAGAAGUGGUUAGCUUAACCUUCGGGGGAGCGAUCACCACGGUGUGGUUCAUGACUGGGGUGAAGUCGUAACAAGGUAGCCGUAGGGGAACCUGCGGCUGGAUCACCU
rnacentral:rRNA from 1 species